UACGAAGGGGGCUAGCGUUGCUCGGAAUCACUGGGCGUAAAGCGCACGUAGGCGGUUCGUUAUGUCGGAUGUGAAAGCCCUUGGCUUAACCGAGGAAGUGCAUCCGAAACUGGCGAGCUAGAGUACGAAAGAGGAUCGCGGAAUUCCCGGUGUAGAGGUGAAACUCGUAGAUAGUCGGGAGGAACACCGGGUGGCGAAGGCGGCGAUCUGGGUCGAUACUGACGCUGAGGUGCGAAAGCGUGGGGAGCAAACAGGG
rnacentral:rRNA from 1 species